rnacentral:rRNA from 1 species
GCUAAAUGCGGGCGAGCGGUGGGGGUAGUUAGUAUGGGGGAAGGGUUGUGCGGAUUGAUGGGGCGGAAAGAGCGGGGAGGCGGCCUGGAAGGUCAGCUGUGAAAACUGGAGGCUCAACCUCGAGACGUCGGUUGAAACCACCUGGCUAGAGUCCGGAAGAGGAGAGUGGAAUUCCCGGGGUAGCGGUGAAAUGCGCAGAUAUCGGGAAGAACACCCGUGGCGAAGGCGGCUCUCUGGGACGGUACUGACGCUGAGACGCGAAAGCGUGGGGAGCGAACAGGAUUAGAUACCCUAGUAGUC